AAGAGCACACACUGUGUCUGAAGAUGGCGGUUUCUUUUCUCCUCCAGCUGAUGUCUGUCACGUGGUACAAUGAGCCCAGUGUGGCCAGAGCUCCUGGAUUCACAAAAGAAACUGGAAAGCCAGAUUCUUAUGAAAAAUUCCCUUACACAGGCAUUCCCUCGGAGAUGGUACCAGACUACUGCAAUAAAGCAGACGCCUGUGGCUCAACAUGGAGAAAAGCCUACUAUUGAGCCCAUGAGCCCAGACGUGAUUACCUUUUUGCGUGGCCGAAGCUUGUCCCGCCAUUCCUUCAGGUUCUGAUUAUGGCUCUCAUCUAGGGCCUUCAGCUUCUGGGUUUCAUGUUCUACCAGGAGGUGACACUUUUCAUUCUGGAACAAAUUCCAGGCAGAACAGGAGAGAUUUGUGUAAAGAUGAGGACAUGGACCUGACAGAGACACUCCCAACUUUAUUAUUCUCUGAGGUUUUUGGCGCCCCCACUUAAGUUUUGUGCUCCAGCUCCAGCCCAGCCCCUGCAGCUGCCUGAGGCCCCUUGGAUACAAAUGUCACCCCCAUAGACUGCAGUCUGGGAGCUGGGCUCUGAAGCCUGCAGCACCACGGACCACCCUUAGAAGCUGUUUGUCUGAAGACUGGGAGUGGCCUACUGGGGUUGCUGAGCUGGGACGACAUACAGGAAGCUGCCUGGGAGCCAAGUCAACACAGGAAAGGAGAGCCCAAAUGACAGAGAAGUAGCUCCUCAGGACGCAGCUGGAGCACAUGAAUCCCGACACGUGGACGUGAGCUUUUCAGAUACAUGAGCUCCCCAGAGUCUCCUCUGUUGCUGAAGCGGGACUGAGCUGGGGUUUCGAUCGCUUGCGUCCUAGAGCCCCUGGCCUCCGCCCAGCACAUAUUCACCU